rnacentral:rRNA from 1 species
GAGUUUGAUCUUGGCUCAGAAUGAACGUUGGCGGCGUGGAUUAGGCAUGCAAGUCGAGCGAGAACCCCGCAAGGGGGACAGCGGCAAACGGGGUAGUAAUGUGUCGGAACGUGCCCUGAGGUCGGGGAUAGCGGCGGGAAACUGCCGGUAAUACCCGAUGAUCUCGAGAGAGCAAAGGUGUGAUUCCGCCUUUGGAGCGGCCGACAUGGUAUUAGCUAGUUGGCGGGGUAACGGCCCACCAAGGCUGUGAUGCCUAGGGGCUGUGAGAGCAUGAUCCCCACCAUUGGGACUGAGACACUGCCCAGACACCUACGGGUGGCUGCAGUCGAGGAUCUUCGUCAAUGGGCGAAAGCCUGAACGAGCGACGCCGCGUGCGGGAUGAAGGCCUUUGGGUUGUAAACCGCUGUCGAGGGGAUGAAGGCUUGAAAGUCAUCUUUCAAGUUUGACAGAGCCCUGGAGGAAGCACGGGCUAAGUUCGUGCCAGCCGCCGCAGUAAG